AACGGCCGUACCAUGCUGAAUAUACCGGUUCUCGUUAGAUCACCGAAGUUAAGCAUCAUUGGGCGCGGUCAGUACUUGGGUGGGUGACCACCUGGGAACACCGCUUGCCGU
rnacentral:rRNA from 1 species